rnacentral:rRNA from 1 species
CGAACGCUGGCGGCGUGCUUAACACAUGCAAGUCGAACGCGAAAGGGGACUUCGGUCCUGAGUAAAGUGGCGCACGGGUGAGUAACGCGUAGAUAACCUGUCUUCAUGUCUGGAAUAAUACGCCGAAAGGGGUACUAAUACCGGAUAUUCUUGCUUUUCAUAAGUUAUGCAAGCAAAGGUGGCCUCUGCAUAUGCUACUGCAUGAAGAGGGGUCUGCGUACCAUUAGCUAGUAGGUGGGGUAAUGGCCUACCUAGGCGACGAUGGUUAGCGGGUCUGAGAGGAUGAUCCGCCACACUGGCACUGGAACACGGGCCAGACUCCUACGGGAGGCAGCAGUGAGGAAUAUUGCGCAAUGGGGGAAACCCUGACGCAGCGACGCCGCGUGAAGUGAGGAAGGCCUUCGGGUCGUAAAGCUCUGUCAAGAGGAAAGAAGUGUACAAUGGCUAAUACCUGUUGUAUUUGACGGUACCUCUAAAGGAAGCACCGGCUAACUCCGUGCCAGCAGCGGC